GCAAGUCGAGCGGUAACAGAAAGUAGCUUGCUACUUUGCUGACGAGCGGCGGACGGGUGAGUAAUGCUUGGGAACAUGCCUUGAGGUGGGGGACAACAGUUGGAAACGACUGCUAAUACCGCAUAAUGUCUACGGACCAAAGGGGGCUUCGGCUCUCGCCUUUAGAUUGGCCCAAGUGGGAUUAGCUAGUUGGUGAGGUAAUGGCUCACCAAGGCAACGAUCCCUAGCUGGUUUGAGAGGAUGAUCAGCCACACUGGAACUGAGACACGGUCCAGACUCCUACGGGAGGCAGCAGUGGGGAAUAUUGCACAAUGGGCGAAAGCCUGAUGCAGCCAUGCCGCGUGUGUGAAGAAGGCCUUCGGGUUGUAAAGCACUUUCAGUCAGGAGGAAAGGGUGUGAGUUAAUACCUCACGUCUGUGACGUUACUGACAGAAGAAGCACCGGCUAACUCCGUGCCAGCAGCCGCGGUAAUACGGAGGGUGCGAGCGUUAAUCGGAAUUACUGGGCGUAAAGCGUACGCAGGCGGUUUGUUAAGCGAGAUGUGAAAGCCCCGGGCUCAACCUGGGAACUGCAUUUCGAACUGGCAAACUAGAGUGUGAUAGAGGGCGGUAGAAUUUCAGGUGUAGCGGUGAAAUGCGUAGAGAUCUGAA
rnacentral:rRNA from 1 species